rnacentral:lncRNA from 1 species
GGGAGCCGGGCUCCGCUCUCAGUAUCGGCAGCUGGUAAGCUCAAUCCGGACUCCUAUUAGAGCCGGAUUUCACCCUUAACUUUGUUUACAGUGCAGCUCCGCCCGGACUCCCACGGGAGCUGGGCUCCGCUCUCAGUAUCAACUGCUGCUCCGUCAGGACUCCUACAGAAACUGGGCUCCGGCCGUUACCGAGCUCCAAUCGACAGAUCCGCGCCUCCUGACAGGCCCUCAAAAUGGCCACGACCCUGCUCCACUU